GGAUUUGUCAGUUGGUCGGGCUUAACUGUCCGUAUUGACUCAAUGGAUUCUUACCUUCUGAAUAACCAGCAUGCUAUUAAUUUAGUGCGUUGGGGAAGCAGAUCUAUUACCUUGAAAAAAUUAGAGUGCUUAAAGCGAGCUAGUGCUUGAAUAGAUUGGCAUGGAAUAAUAAAAUAGGACGGCAUGGUUCUAUUUUGUUGGUUUCUAGGAUUGACGUA
rnacentral:rRNA from 1 species